rnacentral:rRNA from 1 species
AACGAACGCUGGCGGCAUGCCUAACACAUGCAAGUCGAACGAGACCUUCGGGUCUAGUGGCGCACGGGUGCGUAACGCGUGGGAACCUGCCCUUAGGUUCGGAAUAACUCCCCGAAAGGGGUGCUAAUACCGGAUAAUGUCUUCGGACCAAAGAUUUAUCGCCUUUGGAUGGGCCCGCGUUGGAUUAGCUAGUUGGUAGGGUAAAAGCCUACCAAGGCGACGAUCCAUAGCUGGUCUGAGAGGAUGAUCAGCCACACUGGGACUGAGACACGGCCCAGACUCCUACGGAAGGGAGCAGUGGGGAAUAUUGGACAAUGGGCGAAAGCCUGAUACAGCAAUGCCGCGUGAGUGAUGAAGGGCUUAGGGUUGUAAAGCUCUUUUACCCGGGAUGAUAAUGACGGUACCGAGAGAAUAAGCUCCGGCUAACUCCGUG